rnacentral:rRNA from 1 species
GAUGAACGCUGGCGGCGUGCCUAAUACAUGCAAGUCGAGCGAAUGGAUUAAGAGCUUGCUCUUAUGAAGUUAGCGGCGGACGGGUGAGUAACACGUGGGUAACCUGCCCAUAAGACUGGGAUAACUCCGGGAAACCGGGGCUAAUACCGGAUAACAUUUUGAACUGCAUGGUUCGAAAUUGAAAGGCGGCUUCGGCUGUCACUUAUGGAUGGACCCGCGUCGCAUUAGCUAGUUGGUGAGGUAACGGCUCACCAAGGCAACGAUGCGUAGCCGACCUGAGAGGGUGAUCGGCCACACUGGGACUGAGACACGGCCCAGACUCCUACGGGAGGCAGCAGUAGGGAAUCUUCCGCAAUGGACGAAAGUCUGACGGAGCAACGCCGCGUGAGUGAUGAAGGCUUUCGGGUCGUAAACUCUGUUGUUAGGGAAGAACAAGUGCUAGUUGAAUAAGCUGGCACCUUGACGGUACCUAACCAGAAAGCCACGGCUAACUACGUGCC